UCCGUAGGUGAACCUGCGGAGGGAUCAUUACAGAGUUGCAAAACUCCCAAACCAUUGUGAACGUUACCUUCAAACCGUUGCUUCGGCGGGCGGCCCGGGUCCGCCCGGUGCCCCCUGGCCCCCUCGCGGGGCGCCCGCCGGAGGAAACCCAACUCUUGAUACAUUAUGGCCUCUCUGAGUCUUCUGUACUGAAUAAGUCAAAACUUUCAACAACGGAUCUCUUGGUUCUGGCAUCGAUGAAGAACGCAGCGAAAUGCGAUAAGUAAUGUGAAUUGCAGAAUUCAGUGAAUCAUCGAAUCUUUGAACGCACAUUGCGCCCGCCAGUAUUCUGGCGGGCAUGCCUGUUCGAGCGUCAUUUCAACCAUCAAGCCCCAGGCUUGUGUUGGGGACCUGCGGCUGCCGCAGGCCCUGAAAACCAGUGGCGGGCUCGCUGUCACACCGGGCGUAGUAGAUUUUAUCUCGCUCAGGGCGUGCUGCGGGUUCCGGCCGUUAAAAAGCCUUUUUUACCCAAGGUUGACCUCGGAUCAGGUAGGAAGACCCGCUGAACUUAAGCAUAUCAAUAAGCGGAGGA
rnacentral:rRNA from 1 species